GGGUGAGUAACACGUGGGCAACUACCCUCUGUCCGGGAUAACCACCGAAAGGUGGGCUAAUACCAGAUGACGUCCCGGCAUCCAAAGGGGCGCGGAGGGAUGGGCCUGCGGCUGAUUAGCUAGUUGGCGGGGUAACGGCCCACCAAGGCUCUGAUCAGUAGCCGAGGUGAGAGGGUGAUCGGCCACACUGGGACUGAGAUACGGCCCAGACUCCUACGGGAGGCAGCAGUGGGGAAUCUUGCGCAAUGGGCGAAAGCCUGACGCAGCGACGCCGCGUGGGCGAUGAAGGCCUUCGGGUUGUAAAGCCCUGUCGGGUGGAACGAACGACGGUACCAUCGAAGGAAGCCCCGGCUAACUACGUGCCAGCAGCCGCGGUAAUACGUAGGGGGCGAGCGUUGUUCGGAUUUACUGGGCGUAAAGCGCGCGUAGGCGGGCCUGCAAGUCCGAUGUGAAAUCCCUCGGCUCAAC
rnacentral:rRNA from 1 species